rnacentral:lncRNA from 1 species
UGACGGAGGUUAUGGAUAUCUCGUCAAGCCCCAUCGUCCGUCAUAUGUCAAAUUUAUACGACUUCCAGUUUGAGAUAUGGAAAACUCUUUUUUCAAAAUACCUGGUCAGAAAUUUAUCGAACUCAGUCUCAUAAAUUACAUAGGAUCACUCCUAAUCUAUCAAGGUCGAUAGAUCUCAUCUAGAUGCAACUCUAUUCCAAAAUGAACCUACUGUAGCCAAUCCGCACUACAAGGACCUGAAUGGCUAGGGCCCAAGUUCACAU